GUCGAGAAUCUUUCUCAAUGGGCGCAAGCCUGAAGGAGCGACGCCGCGUGGGGGAUGAAGGGCUUCGGCCUGUAAACCCCUGUCAUUUGCGAACAAGGUCAGCCAUUUAAAAGAUAGCUGGCUUGAUGGUAGCGAAAGAGGAAGGGACGGCUAACUCUGUGCCAGCAGCCGCGGUAAUACAGAGGUCCCAAGCGUUGUUCGGAUUCACUGGGCGUAAAGGGUGCGUAGGUGGUGGGGAAAGUUCGAUGUGAAAGCUCCGAGCUUAACUCGGAAAUGGCAUUGAAAACUACCCUGCUAGAGGAUUGGAGGGGGGACUGGAAUUCUCGGUGUAGCAGUGAAAUGCGUAGAUAUCGAGAGGAACACCAGUGGCGAAGGCGAGUCCCUGGACAACUCCUGACACUGAGGCACGAAAGCUAGGGGAGCAAACAGGAUUAGAUACCCUAGUAGUCC
rnacentral:rRNA from 1 species